rnacentral:rRNA from 1 species
AUGAACGCUAGCGGCAGGCCUAAUACAUGCAAGUCGGACGGGAUAGGAGAGCUUGCCUUCCUUGAGAGUGGGCGCAACGGGUGCGUAACACGUAUGUAAACCUACCCUUGUCAGGGGGAUAGCCUCUCGAAAGAGAGAUUAAGGACCGCAUAACAUUAUGAUAUGGCAUCAUAUUAUAAUCAAAUAUUUAUAGGACAAGGAUGGGCAUGCGGAAACAUUAGCUAGUUGGUGUGGGUAAACGGCAUACCAAGGCUACGAUGUUUAGGGGAUCUGAGAGGAUGACCCCCCCACACUGGUACUGAGGACACGGACCAGACUCCUACGGGAGGCAGCAGUAAGGAAUAUUGGUCAAUGGGCGGAAGCCUGAAACCAGCCAUGCCGCGUGCAGGAAGACGGCCCUACGGGUUUGUAAACUGCUUUUGCAGGGGAAUAAACCUUCGUAUGUAUACGAAGCUGAAUGUACUCUGAGAAUAAGGAUCGGCUAACUCCGUGCCAGCAGCCGCGGUAAUACGGAGGAUCCAAGCGUUAUCCGGAUUUAUUGGGUUUAAAGGGUGCGUAAGUGGUUUUUUUAAGUCAGGGGUGAAAGACGGCAGCUUAAACUGUCGCAGUGCCUUUGAUACUGAAGAACUUGAAUGAACUAGAGGUAGGCGGAAUGUGACAAGUAGCGGUGAAAAUGCAUAGAUAUGUCACAGAAACACCAAUUGCGAAGGCAGCUUACUAUGGUUUUUAUUGACACUGAGGCACGAAAAGCGUGGGGAUCAAACAGGAUUAGAUACCCUGGUAGUCCCACGCCCUAAACGAUGAAUACUCGAUGUUGGCGAUAUACGGUCAGCGUCUAAGCGAAAGCGUUAAGUAUUCCACCUGGGGAGUACGCCCGCAAGGGUGAAAACUCAAAGGAAUUGACGGGGGGCCCGCACAAGCGGAGGAGCAUGUGGUUUAAUUCGAUGAUACGCGAGGAAACCUUACCCGGGCUUGAAAAGUUAGUGAAUUGAGCAGAGGACGCCUCAAGUCCUUCGGGACACGAAAACUAGGUGCUGCAUGGCUGUCGUCAGCUCGUGCCGUGAGGUGUUGGGUUAAGUCCCGCAAACGAGCGCAAACCCCUAUGUUUUAGUUUGCCAGCAUGUAAUGGGUGGGGACUCUAAACAGACUGCCUAUGCAAAUAGAGAGGAAGGAGGGGACGACGUCAAGUCAUCAUGGCCCUUACGUCCGGGGCUACACACGUGCUACAAUGGUCAGUACAGAGGGGCCGCUACCUGGCAAACAGGAUGCCAAUCUCUUAAAGCUGAUCACAGUUCGGAUCGGGGUCUGCAACUCGACCCCGUGAAGUUGGAUUCGCUAGUAAUCGCGUAUCAGCAAUGACGCGGUGAAUACGUUUCCCGGGCCUUGUACACACCGCCCGUCAAGCCAUGGAAGCUGGAAGUGCCUGAAGUGCGUAACCGUAAGGAGCGUCCUAGGGUAAAGUCGGUAAACUGGGGCU